rnacentral:rRNA from 1 species
AAUUUUGGACAAUGGGGGCAACCCUGAUCUAGCCAUCCCGCGUGUGUGAUGAAGGNCUNNGGGUUNUNAAGCACUUUUGGCUGNNNNNAAAAGGCUCUGGCUAAUACCUGGAGGCGCUGCCGGUACCUGAAAAAUAAGCACCGGCUAACUACGUCCAACCAGCCGCGGUAAAACGUAGGGUGCAAGCGUUAAUCGGAAUUACUGGGCGUAAAGCGUGCGCAGGCGGUUCGGCAAGAAGGAUGUGAAAUCCCAGGGCUUAACCUUGGAACUGCAUUCUUAACUGCCGGGCUAGAGUAUGUCAGAGGGGGGUAGAAUUCCGCGUGUAGCAGUGAAAUGCGUAGAGAUGCGGAGGAAUACCGAUGGCGAAGGCAGCCCCCUGGGAUAAUACUGACGCUCAUGCACGAAAGCGUGGGGAGCAAAC